rnacentral:tRNA from 1 species
GCCCGGCUAGCUCAAUCGGUAGAGCGUGAGACUCUUAAAGAGGAUUACUUCAUCUCAAGGUUGUGGGUUCGACCCCCACGUCGGGCU